rnacentral:ncRNA from 2 species
AAUGCUGUGGGGGCGUUGAGCCGGCGCCUGUAAAUGGUCACUUGGGUGGCGGCGAGCCAAUAGUGAAACCGACCCGAAACAAG